CAGCACCGGGCUCCGCAGACACGACCCGGGCGCCGCCCAGCCCCGGGGCGUCCCUGCCGUCCGCACCCCGGUCCCCGCGGCCGCGACCCGGGCCCGCAGCACGCACGCUCCCGCCCCAGCCGGUCUCCGCCUUUCCUCCUCCGGCCCUGGGUUUUUGCGCAGCCGCCGGGGGCAUCCCGGCUCCCUCUUGGGCGGUCUGGCUGCGUGCACUUCCCGCGCCUCUGCUGCGUGGGGCUACGGGGCUGUCCCCCGGGGCGUGCGGGGGCCGUGCGCGGCGCAGGCCUUCCCCCUACCCCGGGUUCACCCCGUUCACCAGCGAGGGGAGCCGGUGCCGCCCUGCUCCGGGCUGGGGGCAGGGGCUGAGGCCAGCGGGAAGACGAGGAGUGGACUCUGCCCCUGGUACUUGACCCCUCAGGGGGACCCCCAGGCCUCAGCCCCAGCGGGAGUCUGAGAGUCCGCUUCCAGUUGCAAGGCAGAGGAUGCACCCACACCUCUACGGCUCCAGGACAACGGGGACCCCACUUACAUUUCAGCAAUGUUGCUCUGACUCCGGGGAGCAGAGUGGACGAGAACCUGUGUCCGAGGCUCCUGCCACCGUCCAGGCGGCACACGGUGGCAGCUUGGACAAAGAAGAGCAGAUGGCUGCCCGUGGUGCGUGCUCAGUAAAUGUGGAAUGGAAAUCAAUUGUCAUCGGAAUUACAUUAUCUUUACUUUCUAAAGAAUUUGCCUUCUGAAAGUAGCAGCUCUCCUAGAACUGACUGGUAAGCUAAUAGCUUGACGCAGAAAUUGAUGCUCUGUUACUAUGAUUUGGGGCACGCUUUCUUUUUCUUUCCCUAAUAAUAAUCUUAUCAAUAAAGCUGGAUAAUGCAAGUCAGUACCUCUCAAGCUUCAAUCUCUGUACAAAUUUGUUGGGGUGGAGUGAAGCCAAAGGUUCUGCAUUUCUACAAAACACCCAGAUAAUGUUGAUACUUUUGGUUCAUGAACCACAAUUUGACCAGAAGGAUCCAGGCACAGAGAAGACUGGACUGCCCAAGUGACUGGAAGGGCUGAAGCCGAGAGCUAGCAAAGUCAGCACAGAAGCUGGGAGGCCGGGAGCACUGACUUCCCAAGCACCACGUGGGUUCAGACUCAGAUAGGGACAGUAGGGAUCAGAUAGGGACAGUAGGGAUCAGUGUCUUGCUGUGGGUUCAGAAUUCAAAAUGGCCUCGGUAGCUCAGAGACGUGGAGGGAAACCAACACAAGUGAAGGUCAGAGAGCCAAGUAAAGGACAUCGUGUGACAGAGGAAAAUCCCCAGCUUUUACAUCUCUGAUGAACAAUAGAUACUCGUAGAACUGAAAAAUACCUGGACGUCAUGCGUACCCAGGGCUGAUCCUGACUCAGUAGUACAGAGCUCUGGUUUGGAAAUCAAGUGUAAAAGCCCCUUGUUGGCCAGCAUCGCAGAGGCCGAGAGGCUCAGCUAUGACUUGAUUUAUGAGUCUGACACGUCUGAUACAAAGCGAGGACUGAUCCAUGAUUUUUGAGAGAGAUCCAGAGAUGUCAAGCCUGCAGAGACAGCUGCAGUACCGGGAUUUUGCCUUGUCCCCCAGAGCCCAAAUUGCAGGAGAUUCUACCGUCUGACUUUUAUUCAUUGCGUGACUUACAUAAAGCAGAUAUCUCACUGAAUUAACUGUACCGUUGCCGCUGCCUAGGCAUGUCUUAUGGUGUACAUACAUCACUCACCUGCCCCCUCCCAUGUGAAAUAUCCACCCAGCUGUCAAAGCUCGAGAAACCCAGGCUUCUGGGUAUCAAGGUCAACUUCCACUUUAGACUGGGGCCUUUGCAGAACUGUCACUUGGAAAUCCACCACUUGUCCGGGACGAGACGCUCCGCAUUGUCAAGGGCAGACAUACUGAGUGGCCAAGCUAGGAACCAGAGGAAAAAUUCUGCCAUGUUCAACCCACGGUCGGUUGGCAGCCUUGGCUGCCCCAGCUCUGGGUGGAGAGCAUUCUGGGGAGGGGGAGUGAAGUAAGUUAAAUCCAUCUUCUUCAGGCUUUUGUACACAGGAGUGACACUUUUUUUUCCCCCACAAGUUGUCAUUAAGUGAUGGUAAGAUUUUAUCAACAGUCGCUUCCUGAGCCCAGCUGAGUGCUGGGUACGGGGACUCCAAUGUCACAGAAGCUCUGUAAUCCCUCUGCCCAGUGAUGGUCUCUGUGAAGAGCUGGGAAGGUGAGAGGGAAUUUCUCUCCUGGUCAGUAUCUUUAACACAGUCGGAGUUCGCAGCAGUGAGACAUUUGAAGGGUUUUGUUUUGUUUUUCUUUUCUGCGUGUUUUAUUAGAUUAAGAUGACACAAAGAAGCCGGUAGAUGUCUCAGUGUCCCUCUGCUACUAGGAGGGCAUUUGGUCUCAUUUCUGUUUUCACUACAGAUAAGUGAAAAUUCUGAACUGCGCAGACAGCCCUCACAAACAACAAGUUCAGGAAAAUGCUAUCAGAGUUCCAGUGUUUUCUUUGGCCUGAGAAAUCUGAUUAGUUAAAUGCUAAAUUGUUGCUAAAAUAGAUUUAUCAGUGGGCAGCCUUUUGGAGAGAAAUCGCUCCACCCAAUUAUGUCGUGAUUUCUUUAUUCAUUAAAUAUUUCAGUGUCUAGACAUUGGGUUGGAUGUUCUAUGGACAUAAAAGUUGUUGUCCUCAAAUGCUUGGAAUAAUAAAAAUAGUUACUGUUUAUUGGGAGAAUUUGUUGUGCCAAACUUUGUACACACAAUUUUGUUUAAUCUUCCCAACAACCCUUCUGAAAUAAUAUUAUUCAUUGAAUAAAAUGCAUAAAGACAGAGGCUGCAAGAACAUGCUAGGAAUGUGUCUAAAGUCACUUAACUAUGGCCAGGCGUUUAGCCUAGUGCUUAAGUUGCCCAUGUCUGCCAGAGCACAGGGAUUCAGUUCCCAGCUCGGGCUCCUGUUUCUAGCUUCCUGCUCAUGUGGACCCUAGGAGGCAGUGGUGAUGGCUCAAGUGAUCGGGUUUCUGUCACUACCUGGAUUAUGUUCCUGACUUCUGACUGAGGUCCCGCCUGGCCCCAGACGGUGCAGGCAUAUGGAAAGUGAAUCGGCCCACAGUGCUGGCUCGCUCUCUCUCUCUCUCUUUCCCUCUCAAAUAAAAACAAUAACAGAAACAAAGUCACUCAGCUAGCAAGUGGUCAGGCAUAUUUUUCUUUCUAUAAUUUGUAAUUUGACCAUUGCUGUGUCCUUUCUCCUGCAGGCCUCGUAUGAGAGAUGACAUUGGUACACAAGUAAGAGCAUUUCUUGUCGAUCCUAUCAGCAGUAGGCUCUUGAUCUCAGGCCUGAGUUUUUGGGCUGUCUUGAGUGUUGGCAGAUGUGUGUCCUCUGAGAGUGAGCUUGACUUCUGAAAAUAAUCCGAUGUCCUUGGCACCAGGCCUGGUAAACACGGUGUCUGAUACCAUUCCCAUUCUAAAUUGCGGUGAGACAGGACUGUUGUCUGUUUCCAGCCGAGACAUCCAGAUAUGCUUUAUUUUACUGAAAUCAGCUGCACUGAGAAAGAGUUCCCACCCCAUACAAUUCACUCAUGAAAGCCCACAGUUCAGUGACUUUGGUGGAUUCACAGACUUGUGCAACCAUCGGCACUAUCAAUUUUGGAACAUUUUUAUAACCACCAGAAGAAACCCUAGACCCCUUAAGUGUCACCCCUUACUCUCCUGUUUCUUGUCCCAAGCUCUGGAAAACCACUCGUCUGUUUCUAUCUCUGUUGAUUUGCCUGUUCUGUGUAUUUCAUAUACAUGGACUCAUUCAAUAUGUGGUCCUUUGUGAACUGCAUCUGUUUAGUUUACCACUUUAUUGAGGGUGUGAUUGACAUGCAAAAGCUGUAGAACUUUCUUAUGUACAUCUUGAUGUGUGAGGAGCUAAGUGUAUGCCCAUGAGACCGUGGCCACAGUCACCUCCUCCUGUCUCCUCUUUUUGUGGUAAGAGUGCUUAGCGUGAACUCCGCCCUGUCAGCACAUUUUUAAGUGUGAAACACAGUCUCGCUGACUGUGUCUUCUCGCUGUGCGCGCCAUCUCCAGAGCUUGCGUGCCUUGCAUGGCUGAACUUUCUACCCUUUGCUACUCCGCGGUGGAGUGAAACACGGACUCUGUGACAGCCAUCGUGAGCGGCCGUGCGCAGAGCCGACAGUGGUGAUUCUGGUUUAUUCCAGCUUUUUUGCGUCCCUGACCCUGAAGGGCUGAACGGCCUCCCCGUGAGAGGGCACAGCAGUAGACGGGGUUGGACGUCAGUGUUACGGAUGGGUCGGCUACUCCGGGACACGCGGCGUCUCCUGCACGUCCCUCCCUCCUUUCGGUCCUUUUUGGCCUUUUGGAGCGGGAUGCCGGGCUCUGCCUGGCCUUCAGAAGCUCCACACUGGAGAAUGUCUCGCAGACGCCUCCCCUGCUCCUGCUCCCCCAGGUCGGCUGGGGGUCUGGACUCGCCCCCGGUUCAUGCUGAGAGCGGCGCCCAGCUCUGCCGUCCCUGGCAUUGCAGGACACUGCAGUGGCCGGGCAGGCUCUAAGCCUUGCCUCAGUAAUCCUGCCCACAAAUCCGCCUCACGUAGGACUUCAGCUGUCCUGCAUCUGUGUCGAGGGCUGGUGAGCUGCUGCGGCCCACGUGGCCUCGGGCGAGUUAUUCGCCCCGAAGGGCUCUGUUUUCUCGGGGUGAAGCAGCGGUGCAGUGGUGGCGGGCUAAAGGAUGCGCCCCUGUGGUUGCUCGGCUUGACUUGAACCCCCCUUCUAAUCUGGGUGAGUAACUUCUCUGAUUCUGCGUGUCCCUAUUGGCAUAAUUGAAACAGUGCUUCCUGUGCCAUAGUUUUGUUGCGAGGAUUAACACAGAAAACAUGUAUGGACCAUGAAGCACAGGACAUACUCGGUAUUAAUUAUUGCCAUGCUGCCGUGUACUCUCGCUAAUGGAUGGCUUUGGAGGGACACGGUCCCUGAAUCUUCUGAACUCAUACGCAGAUAUUUGUGGGUACACACUGUGUGCACUUUCUAGGGGCAGGGCUCCGUAACACACCUGAGCCUCACAAAGUCCACCUCCCUGCUCCCCAGAAUUGGAUGUGAGGAACUCGUCCCGACCUCCAGCAUGGGGUCAGACAUCUUCCCUGCUGCUUUCUCCUGAGUGUGACCCUGAACCCUCGGGGCCGAGGUUCUCAGCCAUGGUCAGUACUCAGCCCAUGUGUGUGUUCUGUGUUGUAGCCAUCUUCUUCCCGAGCCAACAGGAAGACCCUUGAAGGGGAGGACUUAAUCGUUCUCGUGUCGCCAGUAAUGGGAGGCUAAGCAGAGAUCCCUAAGGCAGUACAUGUCCCAGAAGCACUCAUGGGAAAACCAAACGUCUGCUGAGGGACCUCCUGAAGCCACUGCUCUGCAGGCUUGGUUGGGAGGAUCGGGGGAAGAUCUGAGCCGCUCAGAGCCAGAUCCCAAGGGUGCGCGCACUCAACUGUAUCCUCUAGGGCACCAGAAUUUUCCUUUGCCCAGUGUGAUUGCUCUGCAGGUUGGGACAAGUUGGUAAAAUGUGGGAAUAACAAGUGUGCUUGAAAACACCGUGGCUCAUGUUGCUUAAGCAAUUUUGAUGGGGAGAGAAAAGGGGAAAGCAGGUCAUACCUGUUCUGCAUCGUGAAAUAAAACUGUAGUCAGACUACAAGGAAAUCUUUUGCUUGGCUUGCCCAAGUGAUUCAGGGAAAAUCGGUGGUGUUUUUGGCCCGAACAUCUGGACUGUUGCCAUCAUAUUCUGUUUGACUCAUGGAAACAUUUUUUUUUGGAACUUAGGGAUCUAAGUAUAGAGAAAAGAGCUUUCUUAAGAAUUCUAUUAAAAUACUAAGAGUAGGCUUUUUAAAAAGCGAGCCCUACUGAGUUUGGGAAGAUUCAAAACAGGUAUUUACCUGUUCGAUUUCUACCUUCUGUUGGUACCGUCUUUCUUCUAAAUCCAUGAAAGGAACUAUGUACCAGGUCACUUCCCCGCCCAGGGUUUGUAUAUCAUUCUAGAGAAGGUAAAAUAGUUCACAAAGCACUUAAUUGCCCUUUGCUUUUUCAAACUAUAUAUUUAUUUUCAUGUAAACACGCAGAAAAAUCUGAAGAUUGAGAGAAACUAAUCACUUAAAAUAUGACCACUCAUACUCACAUAAUCACUUACCAAUUAUUGCCAUUUUUAAGGUAUUUCUUGUGUAUAUUUAAAGGUGGUAGUGAGAGUGUACAUGUAGGUUUGUGUCUUGCAGUAUUUUUCUUGAGGAGGUAGUCUUUAUAACCAUCACAGUGGUCCUAUGCCAUUUCAUUGAGUGUAUGUGUCAUUAUUUACUUACAUGAGAGCACUUCAAAAAAUCUAUGGAAAAUGGAUUAAGAGGGGGAGUAGGGAAGAAAAAAAUGGGUUAGAAGAUAGUGUAUUUUGGAAAGCCAAGACACUGUGGCCAAAAAUGACCUACAUGAAAGAUCUCUGUGAGUGAGAUUCCAGUGGCAAGAAGGGGCCGUUAAAGAAGGAGGUACCUUUCUCUGAAGGGAGGAGAGAACUUCCACUUUGAUUAUGGCCUUGUCUAAAUAAGGUCGGAGUUUGUGGACUCAAGAGGCUUCCAUAGCCUUGGCAGCUCGUGACAAGAGCCUCGGGUGAUCACUGACGUCAUAAAUAAGAGUGUCAAUGGUUAAAUCAACAACGGGAGUCACUGUGCACCUGCUCCCCAUGUAGGACCUCUGUCCUUAAUGUGUUGUACUAUGUGAAUUAAUGGUAAAACUAGUACUCAAGGAGUACUUUAAACUUUAUGUGUCUGUAUAGAUGCAAACUUUUGUAAUCUUUACUUAGUAUAGAGUUGAUCUUCUGUAUAUAAAG